AUUGGGCUUAAAAUUCAGCUGAUGUGGAUGCUACCAGAUCUAGCUGGAAAGAGACCUCAGCACAGAGUGUUCUUUGUGGUGGGGAGGGGUUUUCAGUCUUCUCUCUCCUCCCCAUCUUUCUAUGGGGUGUAUUGGAGAUCAGCGUCCUCCACCCCCCCAGGUUUAACCCCCCCACUCUGCCCUCCUCCUGCCCCCACCCCUCCUCCCCCUCAGCCUAUGGAGAUCUUCGUGGAUGACGAGACCAAGUUGACGCUGCACGGGUUGCAGCAAUACUACGUGAAACUGAAGGACAACGAGAAGAACCGGAAGCUCUUUGACCUUCUCGAUGUCCUCGAGUUCAACCAGGUCAGUAUCGAGGGUCUGUGGACAUGAGCACUGCCCGUCUCCAGCUGUGGCAGAAGCCUGUGUAGAAGUAGCCUGUGAUUGACAGGCCGUGGAGGUGAAGAGGUGGAGCGGUGGAGCAAGUCCGAAUGGGAAGAUGAAGUUGGGUGAGAGCUGAGGUAGAGUACUGAUGGCUUCAGAAAGUGUACAAGAGAUUCCCAGGUACCUGGCACUCACCUAAGAGCCUGGCAGGGCAGCCCUGUGCUGGGCUGGCCGUGUGUGUGAAGAGAAUCAUUUGGUUUGUUAGACUAGUUCUUAGAAUGUUCUAGAGGUGGACUCACCCAUGUGUGUUUUGAGGUUUCAUGUCUGUGCAGCUCAGAGGCCAGGAUGUUAGAAAUUAAGGCCUACAUGUACAUGUAGUCAGGUUGAGGAGCAGAGAAAACCAUUUGUGUAGAGAGAUUUGAGUUGGAGUGAGGGAUUUGGGGAACUCUUCUAGAAACACAUGCCUUCCUUUAAACCCGGCAUUCAGGGGGCAGAGGCAGGCAGCUCUUUAAGUCUACGGAGCGAGUUGGAGGACAGCCAGGACUACACAGACUACAAGUGCUGCCUUGAAAAACAAAUCAAAAUUCUGCCAAUGUGUUAGCAUACAUCUUUAAUCCUAAGAAUUAGACAGAGAUAGGUAAGUGCAGGUUUGGGGCCAGCCUGGUCUACAUAAUGUGUUUCAGGACAAUUAGGGCUAAUAGAGAAACCCUGUCUCAAACUUUCUGCUGUUCCAGAGGAUGCACAUUGAGUUCACAGCACCUAUCCAUGUAACUGGGCCCAGGUAAUUCAACACACUGUCUUGAGAGUGCACUGCAUACACCUGACACACAUGCACAAAACCACACAUGCAUACAUUUAAAAAACUUCAAAAGUGAGGUUUCUGGGCUGAGGAAGUGGCUCAGAAGUUACGAACACUUUUGUUCUUCCAGGGAUUCCCAAGUUCAAUUCUCAAUACCCACGUCAGCUCCCAGUCAUGUAAUUACAGUUGGCGGGAGAGGGUCAGGUGUCCUCUGCCGUCUCCACAGGCACCGGGCACACAGCACAAGCAUGUGUGCAGGCAAACCCCACACACCUGAACUUACAAAACCACAUGGGGAUUGUGGGAAGCUGGCACAUACGUCACCCCUGUGCUCCUUAGGUUGUGAUCUUUGUGAAGUCCGUGCAGCGCUGCAUCGCCUUGGCCCAGCUUCUAGUGGAGCAGAACUUCCCAGCCAUUGCUAUCCACCGCGGGAUGCCCCAGGAG
rnacentral:lncRNA from 1 species